CCUACGGGUGGCAGCAGUGGGGAAUAUUGCACAAUGGGGGAAACCCUGAUGCAGCGACGCCGCGUGAGUGAAGAAGUAUUUCGGUACGUAAAGCUCUAUCAGCAGGGAAGAAAAUGACGGUACCUGACUAAGAAGCCCCGGCUAACUACGUGCCAGCAGCCGCGGUAAUACGUAGGGGGCAAGCGUUAUCCGGAUUUACUGGGUGUAAAGGGGGCGUAGACGGCAGCGCAAGUCUGGAGUGAAAUCCCAGGGCUUAACCAUGGAACUGCUUUGGAAACUGUGCAGCUAGAGUGCAGGAGAGGUAAGCGGAAUGCCUAGUGUAGCGGUGAAAUGCGUAGAUAUGAGGAGGAACACCAGUGGCGAAGGCGGCUUACUGGACUGUAACUGACGUUGAGGCUCGAAAGCGUGGGGAGCAAACAGGAUUAGAUACCCUGGUAGUC
rnacentral:rRNA from 1 species